GCAUCACAGAACUCCAAUGACACAGAAAGAGUGGUGACUGAAGGUGGAAAACAAGACCUUCUGAGGCCCCAGGAGACAGACAGUCUUUCUGUGAGUCAGGAGCAAAUAAGACGUGAAUUCAUAGAUGGCUUGCCUCACCACCAGGAAAAACAAAAGAGAAAGAGGAAAAAGUGUUGUACUCGGAAACAUAAUAAUCGACAUGUCCCCCCACGCCCAAAUAUGUCGGGGCAUGUUGGAGAGCUUAGAGAGGCUCAGUCUGUAAGCACGUCUUCAAACCAAGAAAACCAGGCCCUGAGUUCACAGAAUGAAAAUGGACAGUUUAUAAGCUGGCCGGGAGCCAAAAGGGGUGGGGACAUAUUUAACAGUGGGGGUCAACAGCUCAUCGGUAGCUCUGAGACAGGAAGUGAAAAUAGCCAGCAGUGGAAGGUACCUGAUUGGGCCCCGACUGUACCUGAAAGAUCUAGUCAUACUCUGAACCUGGGGGGUGGGAAUGGCCCCCAAGAGAGUCAGUCUGAAGCAGCGGAUGGGAGUGAGCAAUAUGUGGGGAGGUUAGACGAAAGAGAAGGGCAGGGUUUCACCAAUGGAAGGGGCACAUCAUCUGGCCUCUCCACGCAAGAGGAAGGUGUGUCCAGCCUCAGAAAUGAUAAUGAGGUACAAAAAGGUACAUCUAGAGAAGGUAGUCAAUCUGCAAAUCUGGGCACUCCAGAAAAUAACAUAGACGUGUCAAGGAAUCACACUCCCGUGGACACAGCAGGAAACGGAAGUGAGGUAGAAUACAAGAGAAGGCAAUGUAAACAUCGGAAGAGAUGUCGUGCUACUCAUAGAAAGAAAGAACAGGGGGGAGAAUCAGUCCAGCUAACAGACAACCUCAAUACACCCAGCAUUUUGACAGAGGAAGACAGUAUUAGCACAAGUACGGGGAGCAGUUUAACAGGACAGAGGAAAAGCAGUUUUAUGACAGCAGGUAGUCCUAUGGGAGAUGAUAAUCAGCGAACAGACAAACAAGCAAAUUCAUCCAAAAUUGGAGAAAACAUAAGUACACACAACAGCAAUAUAAUAACAGGUGACAAAAAAUGUAAGAGAAAAAAAGAUGGAAAAUGUAAAAGAAACGGUAAGGAGAAAGUCUUAACCCGCGAGGGAUUCCCUAAUGCGAAGGGCGAGUUUGUACACAAAGAUGGCCUCUCUCCAGAAGGGAAAAGAACGGAGGAUUUCUCGAGCUCCAUAGUUCGUCCUAGCACAGACCAGGAGGGUUCUUCUUUGGAGGGAAAUGGAAAAAUUGUAUCCCCUGAGGGAGUCCCCAAUUCUGAGAGUCAAAAAUGGAGUGAAGGUGGCUCCUUCCCAGAGGGAAAUAGAAAUGGGAAAAUCUUAUCCCCUGAGGACAUUUCUAGCUCAAAGGGUCCCUCUUCUAAUGGAGGUAACUCUCUACCUCAGGUUAAUGGAAAGGACAAAGUCUCAACCGCUGAGGGAUUUCCCAAUGCAAAUGGCCAGUUUGUAAACAAAGAUGGCCUCUCUCCAGAAGGGAAAAGAACGGAGGAUUUCUCAAGCUCCAUAGUUCGUCCUAGCACAGACCAGGAGGGUUCUUCUUUGGAGGGAAAUGGAAAAUUUAUAUCCCCUGAGGGAGUCCCCAAUUCUGAGAGUCAAAAAUGGAGUGAAGGUGGCUCCUUCCCAGAGGGAAAUAGAAAUGGGAAAAUCUUAUCCCCUGAGGACAUUUCUAGCUCAAAGGGUCCCUCUUCUAAUGGAGGUAACUCUCUACCUCAGGUUAAUGGAAAGGACAAAGUCUCAACCGCUGAGGGAUUUCCCAAUGCAAAUGGCCAGUUUGUAAACAAAGAUGGCCUCUCUCCAGAAGGGAAAAGAACGGAGGAUUUCUCGAGCUCCAUAGUUCGUCCUAGCACAGACCAGGAGGGUUCUUCUUUGGAGGGAAAUGGAAAAAUUGUAUCCCCUGAGGGAGUCCCCAAUUCUGAGAGUCAAAAAUGGAGUGAAGGUGGCUCCUUCCCAGAGGGAAAUAGAAAUGGGAAAAUCUUAUCCCCUGAGGACAUUUCUAGCUCAAAGGGUCCCUCUUCUAAUGGAGGUAACUCUCUACCUCAGGUUAAUGGAAAGGACAAAGUCUCAACCGCUGAGGGAUUUCCCAAUGCAAAUGGCCAGUUUGUAAACAAAGAUGGCCUCUCUCCAGAAGGGAAAAGAACGGAGGAAUUCUCAAGCCCCAUAGUUCGUCCUAGCACAGACCAGGAGGGUUCUUCUUUGGAGGGAAAUGGAAAAAUUUUAUCCCCUGAGGGAGUCCCCAAUUCUGAGAGUCAAAAAUGGAGUGAAGGUGGCUCCUUCCCAGAGGGAAAUAGAAAUGGGAAAAUCUUAUCCCCUGAGGACAUUUCUAGCUCAAAGGGUCCCUCUUCUAAUGGAGGUAACUCUCUACCUCAGGUUAAUGGAAAGGACAAAGUCUCAACCGCUGAGGGAUUCCCUAAUGCAAAUGGCCAAUUUGUAAACAAAGAUGGCCUCUCUCCAGAAGGGAAAAGAACGGAGGAUUUCUCGAGCUCCAUAGUUCGUCCUAGCACAGACCAGGAGGGUUCUUCUUUGGAGAGAAAUGGAAAAAUUGUAUCCCCUGAGGGUGUCCCCAAUUCUGAGAGUCAAAAAUGGAGUGAAGGUGGCUCCUUCCCAGAGGGAAAUAGAAAUGGGAAAAUCUUAUCCCCUGAGGACAUUUCUAGCUCAAAGGGUCCCUCUUCUAAUGGAGGUAACUCUCUACCUCAGGUUAAUGGAAAGGACAAAGUCUCAACCGCUGAGGGAUUCCCUAAUGCAAAUGGCCAAUUUGUAAACAAAGAUGGCCUCUCUCCAGAAGGGAAAAGAACGGAGGAUUUCUCGAGCUCCAUAGUUCGUCCUAGCACAGACCAGGAGGGUUCUUCUUUGGAGGGAAAUGGAAAAUUUAUAUCCCCUGAGGGAGUCCCCAAUUCUGAGAGUCAAAAAUGGAGUGAAGGUGGCUCCUUCCCAGAGGGAAAUAGAAAUGGGAAAAUCUUAUCCCCUGAGGACAUUUCUAGCUCAAAGGGUCCCUCUUCUAAUGGAGGUAACUCUCUACCUCAGGUUAAUGGAAAGGACAAAGUCUCAACCGCUAAGGGAUCUCCCAAUGCAAAUGGCCAAUUUGUAAUCAAAGAUGGCCUCUCUCGAGAAUGGAAAAGUAAGGAAGGACUCUUAAUCUCUGAAGGUUAUCCUAUCGAAGACAACAAUCAUCCCAACACUAAAGGUCAGUCUUUUGACAAACAUCAUACUCUGCUAAGUCCCAAUGAUUAUCCAAACUCCCAGAGUCUGUCAGUCAAUGCUGGUGGCUCUUCCUCUGAUGUUCUCCAUAAGGCCAAUGGUCAGUUUUUGAAUGAAGGUGAUUCGUCCCUUUGGCAAAAUCAAAAGGCAAAAUUCUUGUCACCUGGUGGUCUUCCUAACUCUGACCGUCAAUCUUUGAAUACUGUUAGUGCUCCUCAUGGGAAAUAUGAAGAGAGGAAAAUCUUAACCCCUCAGCAUUUUCCUAUUUCUGAUCGCGAUUCUUCAAUUACAGAAAAUCCUUCUCUUGGAGGGAAUAACAAGAAGAUAUUCAUAUCUCCUCCCGGACCUCAUAAGCCAGAUACAAUUUUGCAGUACAGAAACAGCGAUGGUUCCCCUGCGGGAACUAAUGGAAUGUGGAAAUUCCUUUCACAUGAAAAGUUUUCCCUCAGUCAAGAUGUGCCUGCCCAACCAUUUGGAAAAGCAGACGAGGAUUCUCCCAAAGUACAUGAGACUUUAUUAGCGGAAAAUUUCUUGAGACCUGACACUGCUCCUUUUCAAAUCGAGGUUCCAGAUAAUUCCUUUUUCUCUCUGAAAUUAGGCUCCUGUACAGCCUGCGGAACGGAACAUUUUAAAUUCUCCAUCCCAAUAAAAAAAAAGUGACUCCGAAAUACCAAACAAUUUCUUCUUGCAGGAAGCCCGGAAAAGAGGUAAUUGUCAAGCUCUUUCCCCACACUGACAACUUAAUUAGACCGGGAGUACCUUCUACAGGAGGUGACUCUAUACUAAGGGGUAACGAGAAAGGUAAUUAUUUCGUUCAGAACAGGGGGGAAACAGGGCCGAACAAUGGAGUUUCAACUAGGUAUCUCUCUCCUUUUGGAAGAAUACAUUUUCCUGGACCUGCAGGAACGGUUCUUUAUGGACCUGGUAGCAAAGAUCACUUUGCAACAAAGGAGGUUGGUGGGUCAUAUCCUGGAGGUCGUAUUAAUAGCCUGAAUAAUCGUCUAGCUAGUUUUGGAGGUCCCAUUGGUGAUCAGAAAACUGAAAGCAACACAGCCAGGUUGAAUAAUCCCAUGCCUGGUUUGGGGAGCGAUCUGUCUGGGGCGGAUGUGUCAAAUGCUGGGGGUAGUCGAUUAGACAGGGAUGAGAGAAGUGAUGUUCCUGCUUUUGGCAGUAAUCCGAUUGGAGCAGGUUAUGGUAUUGCUGGUAGUUGGGGCAAGCCAUCUAAGGACUAUAAACCCGGGCCUCAGAGUGGACUUCCUCCAUUUGGACGUUAUCGUUGGACAUCCAGCAAUACCGCCCUGAGCAACAGUGGGCAAAGAAACCGCAACAGCCUCCUUCCUGGAGUUCCACUGGAGAGAAGAAUGUUUUGGUCUCUCCCUCCUUCGGUCGUGAUUCGAGUCGGCGCCGCAAGAAAUUAACCAGUGUUUUGAGGACCAAAAGCAGGCAAAGCUGUUUAAUCCCAGCCAGCUGAUCCGAGAACCAAAGACGGCCAGGCUUCUUUUGGGAACCUGGCAAGGGCUCUCUCUCAGGCUGUUCGGGAAGGAAAGGAGAAUUUCCUCCAGACUUUGCUUGACAAAAACGGACUGCUGCGAAAUGUCAACUGGGGCAAAAGUCUAAACCACAGCCUGCUUUUGCAGAAGACCCUUAACUGGGGGGGAGGGAGAGAUGGAAGGCCAAACACCGUAGGAAACGUCGCUGCUACCCCAGGCCAGGCAGCAGCCGAAGAGGGUGGAAAGAGACGAGGGCUGUUUCAGACUUUCUUUGAAAAUCUACAACAGGGAAAAGGUCUACUUGGGAGGCCGCUUUUGAUAAGUCAUUUUAUGGGGAAAAGAGAUUUAGAUGGUGUCUCGGGCACCAAUGCGAACCUGGAUGGGGAAGAGCUAGGAAGCAAAACCGUCACUGCAAGAGUGGGAUCGGCAGAAGAUGGCAAAAAGAGAGUGGCGGAACUUUUUUGGAGAAUUUUGUCACAGCCUCGGGCAGAUCCAUCGCCCGAUGUCGCUGAGGGACUUCUUGAGGCCUACAGCUUCUGAGCAUGCCAGAUUUGGUUGCCACAGCCUAUCGCAGAGG